UCUACGGGAGGCAGCAGUGGGGAAUUUUGGACAAUGGGCGAAAGCCUGAUCCAGCCAUGCCGCGUGCAGGAUGAAGGCCUUCGGGUUGUAAACUGCUUUUGUACGGAACGAAAAGACUCUGGUUAAUACCUGGGGUCCAUGACGGUACCGUAAGAAUAAGCACCGGCUAACUACGUGCCAGCAGCCGCGGUAAUACGUAGGGUGCAAGCGUUAAUCGGAAUUACUGGGCGUAAAGCGUGCGCAGGCGGUUAUAUAAGACAGAUGUGAAAUCCCCGGGCUCAACCUGGGAACUGCAUUUGUGACUGUAUAGCUAGAGUACGGCAGAGGGGGAUGGAAUUCCGCGUGUAGCAGUGAAAUGCGUAGAUAUGCGGAGGAACACCGAUGGCGAAGGCAAUCCCCUGGGCCUGUACUGACGCUCAUGCACGAAAGCGUGGGGAGCAAACAGGAUUAGAUACCCUGGUAGUCCACGCCCUAAACGAUGUCAACUGGUUGUUGGGUCUUCACUGACUCAGUACGAAGCUAACGCGUGAAGUUGACCGCCUGGGGAGUCGGCCACAAGGUUGAAACUCAAAGAGAGUAGAGNGNGAGAGAGCGACGGACGACGACGGAGGGAGGAGG
rnacentral:rRNA from 1 species